rnacentral:rRNA from 1 species
CCUACGGGCGGCAGCAGUGAGGAAUAUUGGUCAAUGGACGAGAGUCUGAACCAGCCAAGUAGCGUGAAGGAUGACUGCCCUAUGGGUUGUAAACUUCUUUUAUAUGGGAAUAAAAUGUUCCACGUGUGGGAUUUUGUAUGUACCAUAUGAAUAAGGAUCGGCUAACUCCGUGCCAGCAGCCGCGGUAAUACGGAGGAUCCGAGCGUUAUCCGGAUUUAUUGGGUUUAAAGGGAGCGUAGGUGGAUUGUUAAGUCAGUUGUGAAAGUUUGGGGCUCAACCGUAAAAUUGCAGUUGAAACUGGCAGUCUUGAGUACAGUAGAGGUGGGCGGAAUUCGUGGUGUAGCGGUGAAAUGCUUAGAUAUCACGAAGAACUCCGAUUGCGAAGGCAGUUCACUGGACUGCAACUGACACUGAGGCUCGAAAGUGUGGGUAUCAAACAGGAUUAGAUACCCGAGUAGUC